rnacentral:rRNA from 1 species
AACCUGCCCUGGACUCUGGGAUAAGCGCUGGAAACGGCGUCUAAUACUGGAUAUGAGCUCCUUCCGCAUGGUGGGGGUUGGAAAGAUUUUUCGGUCUGGGAUGGGCUCGCGGCCUAUCAGCUUGUUGGUGAGGUAAUGGCUCACCAAGGCGUCGACGGGUAGCCGGCCUGAGAGGGUGACCGGCCACACUGGGACUGAGACACGGCCCAGACUCCUACGGGAGGCAGCAGUGGGGAAUAUUGCACAAUGGGCGGAAGCCUGAUGCAGCAACGCCGCGUGAGGGAUGACGGCCUUCGGGUUGUAAACCUCUUUUAGCAGGGAAGAAGCGAAAGUGACGGUACCUGCAGAAAAAGCGCCGGCUAACUACGUGCCAGCAGCCGCGGUAAUACGUAGGGCGCAAGCGUUAUCCGGAAUUAUUGGGCGUAAAGAGCUCGUAGGCGGUUUGUCGCGUCUGCUGUGAAAUCCCGAGGCUCAACCUCGGGCCUGCAGUGGGUACGGGCAGACUAGAGUGCGGUAGGGGAGAUUGGAAUUCCUGGUGUAGCGGUGGAAUGCGCAGAUAUCAGGAGGAACACCGAUGGCGAAGGCAGAUCUCUGGGCCGUAACUGACGCUGAGGAGCGAAAGGGUGGGGAGCAAACAGGCUUAGAUACCCUGGUAG